ACAGGGACCCUUCCCGGGUUUCUAAAGGGUCUGAAGGGCGAGAGGAUGGGCGGCGGGUGGGGUGUGGCAAGAGAAUAAGGGAGGAUCCGCCGGAGAGGUUGCCCGGGGCACGGUGUGGGUGUCUGCAACGGGGUCAAGUGUGCUGGGGCGCCGCGCGUCUGCGCCGGAAGAGCGAGCGCGUAAAGCGAGCUGGAGCUUCCAGCCAAACACAACCCAGAGUCCCCGUCUCCACCCCCACCCCAGCUAAUGAUGGCUGCACCCCCAAGCUGGAACCUGCCUCUGCAAAAUCAGCCCUCAGCCUCUCGGCUUCAGGGUAUUUUUUGUUAAGUAAGCUCCACACCCAGCAUGAGGCUUGA